rnacentral:lncRNA from 1 species
GGAACUCUUGCUGGUAUGUGUAGAGAAAACUAGUGUGCACUAUAAUUUAUGAGGCUUAGCUUCUAGUGAUUAUUCAGAAAUUUCUUUAUUUAUAUGAUUGCUUGGGGAGAUGCAAGUUUGUAGGUUAGUGUUACUCUUUUGGCUCACAUUUUCCUUGAAUUGUAUAUGGGCUCUUCAAAAGGAAACAAGAAAAAUUUUCUUCAUAAGUUAAUGGAUCUUCCACCAUCCCAGAUAACUAGAUGUUAAAAUGCACUCCUGUACUUCUAAGUAGUUCCCGAAGGACAUAUUAAGAC